rnacentral:rRNA from 1 species
UACGUAGGGUGCAAGCGUUAAUCGGAAUUACUGGGCGUAAAGCGUGCGCAGGCGGUUGUGCAAGACAGAUGUGAAAUCCCCGGGCUCAACCUGGGAAUUGCAUUUGUGACUGCACGGCUAGAGUGUGUCAGAGGGGGGUAGAAUUCCACGUGUGAGCAGUGAAAUGCGUAGAUAUGUGGAGGAAUACCGAUGGCGAAGGCAGCCCCCCUGGGAUAACACUGACGCCUCAUGCCACGAAAGCGUGGGGACGCAAACAGGA